UGUGGCUCAGUGGUAGAGCGCUUGCCUAGCAUGCAUGAGGCACUGGGUUUGAUCUGAUUCCCAGCA
rnacentral:tRNA from 1 species